GGCUGAGUAAUUCGACCACGGUCCUGGGCCAAGUAAAGCAAGAGAACUUGUGUUUUCUUAGUUGUGGAUCCUGAAUAUGGCAACUGAGAUAGCAAAAAUGGUUGCUGGUGCAAAAUUAAAGCAAGUAACAGGAGAUAUUGGAGUGUUGAGUCCAUCCAUGCGUAGUGACACGCAUGGAUGAUGAUGUGGGCUUGUGUCUGUAUUCUCGUGCGAGUCAUUUAAUGGUCGCAUUUUUUGAAGUUCUUUCCAGGUCCUUUCGACGAGUCAGCAGCAGUUUCAAGUCUAUACACAGAAUUUAGGAGCUCUGGGAGUUGACUCGGAAAGUGACACGAAUCGUGCUAAAGAACUAAAUGAGAAAGCAGAUCAAGAAAGAACAAAAAGAAAGGAAGAACGAAAACAGGAAAAACAGCUCCAUCAUAAAGAAAAAGAGUUAGAAA